GCUGGGCACGGUGGCUCAUGCCUGUAAUCCCAGCACUUUGGGAGGCUGAGGUGGGCGGAUCACCUGAGGUCAGGAGUUCGAGACCAGCCUGGCCAACAUGGUGAAAACCCAUCUCUA
rnacentral:SRP_RNA from 2 species